CUCUCCUUGCAGCAGCCCCUGUCAAAGGGAACAGGAAGCAGUCCACGGAGGGUGACGCCCUAGACACACCUGCAUCCCCCACACCUGCUGGCGAGCAGAACGGGAUCCAGAACCCCACCUCACUGGAGUUAACCUGUGGAAGAUCUACAAGGCAGUGGAGAAGCUGGGGGCCUAUGAGCUGGUAAGGAAGGCACCUCCCAGUCCUUGCCAAACUGCAUAUCCCUGGGGUGAGCCUGCAGCGCUGUCCUUGCCUCUGGACAGAGGAAGAGCCAGGAUCCCCAGUCCUGCCCCUGCGUCCCUGCCUCCCUGCCUCCCCCGCUGGUACUCUGCUGCUCAAAGCAGCUUUUCAGCCUUCCCCAUCUGUUCUGCCCGCCCCGUAUUGGGAAAACUGCUUGGGCCAGCAGUCCGUGGCCCUAGGAGGGAGAAUCGGCUGGCCGCUGCUGGAGCCGCAGAGCAGCUGCCAAACUGCAGUCUUUCGAGUCCCUGCGAGGGCGGCCGGAGCUGCAAGGACCCCGCCGCCAGGGGGCGCCCGCUGGCCGCGCCCUCACGAGGUGCCCUUGCAGGUGACCGGGCGCCGCCUCUGGAAGAACGUGUACGACGAGCUGGGGGGCAGCCCGGGCAGCACCAGCGCGGCCACGUGCACGCGCCGCCACUACGAGAGGCUGGUCCUGCCAUACGUGCGGCACCUGAAGGGGGAGGAUGACAAGCCGCUGCCCACCUCCAAGCCCAGGAAACAGUACAAGAUGGCUAAGGAGAACAGGGGGGAUGAUGGGGCCACCGAGAGGCCGAAGAAGGCCAAGGAGGAGCGGCGCGUGGACCAGAUGAUGCCAGGAAAGACCAAAGCAGAUGCUGCUGACCCAGCACCACUUCCCAGCCAGGAGCCCCCCAGGAACAGCACAGAACAGCAGGGCCCAACCUCUGGGUCUUCUGUGUCCUUUGUGGGUGCCAGCGGCUGUCCUGAGGCCUACAAGCGGCUCCUAUCCAGCUUCUACUGCAAGGGGACACACGGCAUCAUGUCACCGCUGGCCAAAAAGAAGCUCCUGGCCCAGGUGAGCAAGGUGGAGGCCUUGCAGUGCCAGGAGGAGGGCUGCCGCCAUGGGGCAGAGCCCCAGGCGUCCCCAGCUGUUCACCUCCCAGAGAGUCCCCAGAGCCCCAAAGGGCUGACUGAGAACUCCAGGCAUCGGCUGACCCCUCAGGAGGGAUUGCAGGCCCCGGGUGGCAGCCUCAGGGAGGAGGCGCAGGCGGGCCCCUGCCCGGCAGCCCCCAUCUUCAAGGGCUGCUUCCACACCCACCCCACCGAGGUGCUGAAGCCUGUCAGCCAGCACCCCAGGGACUUCUUCUCUAGACUUAAAGAUGGGGUGCUAUUGGGGCCUCCUGGCAAAGAGGGGCUGUCAGUGAAAGAGCCCCAGCUGGUGUGGGGCGGGGACGCUAACCGCCCUUCUGCAUUCCACAAAGGUGGCUCCAGAAAGGGCGUCGUCUACCCCAAGCCUAAAGCCUGCUGGGUGUCCCCCAUGGCCAAGGUCCCAGCCGAGAGCCCCACGCUCCCACCCACCUUCCCCAGUAGCCCAGGCCUGGGCAGCAAGCGCAGCCUGGAGGAAGAGGGUGCUGCCCACAGUGGGAAGAGACUGCGGGCCGUGUCUCCCUUUCUUAAGGAGGCGGAUGCCAAGAAGUGUGGGGCCAAACCUGCAGGGUCCGGCCUGGUCUCCUGCCUUCUGGGCCCAGCCCUGGGGCCUGUGCCUCCAGAGGCCUACAGGGGCACCAUGCUGCACUGCCCGCUGAACUUCACUGGCACCCCAGGCCCCUUGAAGGGCCAGGCUGCACUCCCCUUCAGCCCCCUGGUCAUCCCGGCCUUCCCGGCCCACUUCCUGGCCACUGCAGGCCCCUCGCCUGUGGCCGCUGGCCUGAUGCACUUCCCCCCAACGUCCUUCGACAGUGCCCUCCGCCACAGACUUUGCCCGGCCUCAUCUGCCUGGCACGCACCACCAGUCACAACCUAUGCAGCGCCCCACUUCUUCCACCUCAACACCAAGCUGUAGGCCAGCCCAUGGUGUUGUGUACACUGUGGAGUCGACAGGGGCCUACAACAGGCAGAUGCUGCUGCCAGGGGGCUCUGAACUAGUGCCUGCUACGCAGGACACCCGGGCCAUGCCCCUGGCUGGGCAGCCUGGCACAAGUGAAGAAGGAGGCAGUGGGAAAACUGUGUUUGUCUCAAGGCAGCAGCCUGAACCCAGGAGCAGAGGACCCAGUUUUUAUAAGGCCCUGGGAGAGGGUGGGCAGCUCCCACUGCCCCAAAGCAGAGCUGGAAGCACCCAGGUUGCCUACGGAAAAUCCAAUAAAAAGACACCAGUGUGAAUCCA
rnacentral:sRNA from 1 species